GAUGAACGCUGGCGGCGUGCCUAAUACAUGCGAGUCGAGCGAACAGACGAGGAGCUUGCUCCUCUGACGUUAGCGGCGGACGGGUGAGUAACACGUGGAUAACCUACCUAUAAGACUGGGAUAACUUCGGGAAACCGGAGCUAAUACCGGAUAAUAUAUUGAACCGCAUGGUUCAAUAGUGAAAGACGGUUUUGCUGUCACUUAUAGAUGGAUCCGCGCCGCAUUAGCUAGUUGGUAAGGUAACGGCUUACCAAGGCAACGAUGCGUAGCCGACCUGAGAGGGUGAACGGCCACACUGGAACUGAGACACGGACCAGACUCCUACGGGAGGCAGCAGUAGGGAAUCUUCCGCAAUGGGCGAAAGCCUGACGGAGCAACGCCGCGUGAGUGAUGAAGGUCUUCGGAUCGUAAAACUCUGUUAUUAGGGAAGAACAAAUGUGUAAGUAACUAUGCACGUCUUGACGGUACCUAAUCAGAAAGCCACGGCUAACUACGUG
rnacentral:rRNA from 1 species